UGCUUCUCGGGUGACGAGUGGCGGACGGGUGAGUAAUGUCUGGGAAACUGCCUGAUGGAGGGGGAUAACUACUGGAAACGGUAGCUAAUACCGCAUAACGUCGCAAGACCAAAGAGGGGGACCUUCGGGCCUCUUGCCAUCAGAUGUGCCCAGAUGGGAUUAGCUAGUAGGUGGGGUAACGGCUCACCUAGGCGACGAUCCCUAGCUGGUCUGAGAGGAUGACCAGCCACACUGGAACUGAGACACGGUCCAGACUCCUACGGGAGGCAGCAGUGGGGAAUAUUGCACAAUGGGCGCAAGCCUGAUGCAGCCAUGCCGCGUGUAUGAAGAAGGCCUUCGGGUUGUAAAGUACUUUCAGCGGGGAGGAAGGUGUUGUGGUUAAUAACCGCAGCAAUUGACGUUACCCGCAGAAGAAGCACCGGCUAACUCCGUGCCAGCAGCCGCGGUAAUACGGAGGGUGCAAGCGUUAAUCGGAAUUACUGGGCGUAAAGCGCACGCAGGCGGUCUGUCAAGUCGGAUGUGAAAUCCCCGGGCUCAACCUGGGAACUGCAUUCGAAACUGGCAGGCUAGAGUCUUGUAGAGGGGGGUAGAAUUCCAGGUGUAGCGGUGAAAUGCGUAGAGAUCUGGAGGAAUACCGGUGGCGAAGGCGGCCCCCUGGAGAAAGACACACACUCAGGUGCGAAAGCGUGUGGAGCACACACGAGGAGAUACCCUGGUAGUCCACGCCGUAUACGAUAUCGACAUGUAGGUUGUGCUCCUGAGGCGUGUCUUCCUCAGCUAAC
rnacentral:rRNA from 1 species